rnacentral:rRNA from 1 species
ACCGACUGCUAUUUGGGUGAGGAUAAGCCAUGCGAGUUGAAUGGGAAACCUAAAAAUCCCAUGGCAAACUGCUCAGUAACACAUGAUCAACUUACCCUAUAGAGGAAAAUAACCUCGGGAAACUGAGGAUAAUGUUCCAUAGUUGAAUCGGCUUGGAAAAGUUUUUCAAUAAAAGGGAUAAGGAAAAUGGUCCUUAUCUGCUAUAGGAUAGGAUCGUGCUCGAUUAUGGUUGUUGGUGAGGUAAAGGCUCACCAAGCCGAUAAUCGAUAGGGGCCGUGAGAGCGGGAGCCCCGAGAUGGGUACUGAGACAACGACCCAGGCCUUACGAGGCGCAGCAGGCGCGAAACCUCCGCAAUACACGAAAGUGUGACGGGGUUACCCUAAGUGUUCAAUUUUGAACUGUGGUAGGUGAGUAAUGUUCCCUACUAGAAAGGAGAGGGCAAGGCUGGUGCCAGCCGCCGCGGUAAAACCAGCUCUUCAAGUGGUCGGGAUAAUAUUGGGCUUAAAGUGUCCGUAGCCGGUUUAGUAAGUUCCUGGUAAAAUCGGGUGGCUUAACUAUCUGUAUGCUAGGAAUACUGCUAAACUAGAGGGCGGGAGAGGUCUGAGGUACUACAGGGGUAGGGGUGAAAUCUUAUAAUCCUUGUAGGACCACCAGUGGCGAAGGCGUCAGACUGGAACGUGCCUGACGGUGAGGGACGAAAGCCAGGGGAGCGGACCGGAUUAGAUACCCGGGUAGUCCUGGCCGUAAACGAUGCAUACUAGGUGAUGGCAUGGCCAUGAGCCGUGUCAGUGCCGUAGGGAAACCGUUAAGUAUGCCGCCUGGGAAGUACGGUCGCAAGGCUAAAACUUAAAGGAAUUGGCGGGGGAGCACCACAAGGGGUGAAGCCUGCGGUUCA